UACGGGGGGGGCAAGCGUUGUUCGGAAUCACUGGGCGUAAAGGGCGCGUAGGCGGCCGAUCAAGUCGGGGGUGAAAGCCUGUGGCUCAACCACAGAAUUGCCUUCGAUACUGUUUGGCUUGAGACCGGAAGAGGUUAGUGGAACUGCGAGUGUAGAGGUGAAAUUCGUAGAUAUUCGCAAGAACACCAGUGGCGAAGGCGGCUGACUGGUCCGGUUCUGACGCUGAGGCGCGAAAGCGUGGGGAGCAAACAGG
rnacentral:rRNA from 1 species